GAUGAACGCUGGCGGCGUGCUUAACACAUGCAAGUCGAGCGAGAAGUUUUGAAAAGAUUCUUCGGAUGAAAUUUAAAAUGGAAAGCGGCGGACGGGUGAGUAACGCGUAGGCAACCUGCCCCAUACAAAGGGAUAGCAUUUGGAAACGAAUAUUAAUACCUUAUGAAACUUAACUAGUGCAUGCUAGGUAGGUCAAAGAUUUAUCGGUAUGGGAUGGGCCUGCGUCUGAUUAGCUAGUUGGUGAGGUAACGGCUCACCAAGGCGACGAUCAGUAGCCGACCUGAGGGGGUGAACGGCCACAUUGGAACUGAGACACGGUCCAAACUCCUACGGGAGGCAGCAGUGGGGAAUAUUGCACAAUGGGGGAAACCCUGAUGCAGCAACGCCGCGUGAACGAUGAAGGCCUUUGGGUCGUAAAGUUCUGUUCUAGGUGAUGAAAACUGACAGUAACCUAGGAGAAAGCCCCGGCUAACUCCGUG
rnacentral:rRNA from 1 species